UACGGAGGGGGCUAGCGUUGUUCGGAAUUACUGGGCGUAAAGCGCGCGUAGGCGGACCUGCAAGUCGGGGGGUGAAAGCCCGAGGCUCAACCUCGGAACUGCCUUCGAUACUGCGGGUCUCGAGUCCGGGAGAGGUGAGUGGAAUUCCUAGUGUAGAGGUGAAAUUCGUAGAUAUUAGGAAGAACACCAGUGGCGAAGGCGGCUCACUGACCCGGUACUGACGCUGAGGCGCGAAAGCGUGGGGAGCAAACAGG
rnacentral:rRNA from 1 species